UCGUCGAUGACACCGGGUGAGAUGAAGUGGACGUGGGUGUCGAUGGCACCAGCGGUGAUGAUCUUGCCGUUGCCCGAGAUGAUCUCGGUGUCGGGGCCGAUGACGAGAUCGGGGUGCACACCGUCCAUCGUGUCGGGGUUCCCGGACUUGCCGAUUCCGGUGAUACGGCCGUCGCGGAUCCCGAUGUCCGCCUUGACCACACCCCAGUGGUCGACGAUCACCGCGCCGGUGACGACGGUGUCGGGCGCGCCCUGGGCGCGACCCACCCUGGACUGGCCCAUGGACUCGCGG
rnacentral:sRNA from 1 species